rnacentral:ribozyme from 14 species
CAAAGGCAACGGUAACAGAGAAGAAGGAGAAGGAAAGUAUGCAACCAUUGAUAGUGCAGGGAAUGUACGAUCAUCAUUGUCAUCAUCAUCGUCUUUUUUCUUCUUUUAUUCUUCCUCUUCCUCU